AUUGAACGCUGGCGGCAUGCCUUACACAUGCAAGUCGAACGGCAGCACGGAGCUUGCUCUGGUGGCGAGUGGCGAACGGGUGAGUAAUAUAUCGGAACGUACCCAAGAGUGGGGGAUAACGUAGCGAAAGUUACGCUAAUACCGCAUACGAUCUAAGGAUGAAAGUGGGGGCUCGCAAGACCUCAUGCUCCUGGAGCGGCCGAUAUCUGAUUAGCUAGUUGGUGAGGUAAAGGCUCACCAAGGCAUCGAUCAGUAGCUGGUCUGAGAGGACGACCAGCCACACUGGAACUGAGACACGGUCCAGACUCCUACGGGAGGAAGCAGUGGGGAAUUUUGGACAAUGGGGGCAACCCUGAUCCAGCAAUGCCGCGUGAGUGAAGAAGGCCUUCGGGUUGUAAAGCUCUUUUGUCAGGGAAGAAACGGUGAAGGCUAAUAUCCUUUGCUAAUGACGGUACCUGAAGAAUAAGCACCGGCUAACUACGUGCCAGCCGCCGCCGUAAAAC
rnacentral:rRNA from 1 species